UUAAGGCUUAGCAAUGGCGGCGCCCGGGGAGUCCCUGAGGAAGCGGAGUCGCGGGGACAGGGUCCCAGGGCCUCGGUCGCCGUCUCCGCCCGCGCCGAGGCGCGACCCCGCGGGCUCCCCGGCCUGCCUCCGCGCGGGCACCUUCUGGCUGACCAGGAUAGCGCUCCUGAAGGCGCUGGCGUUCGUUUACUCGGUGGCGUUCCUGGUGGCUUUCCGUCAGAACAAGCAGCUGAUUGGGGACCGGGGGCUGCUCCCCUGCCGACUGUACCUGGAGCACCUGCAGCGGCACUUCGGCGGGCAGGCCGGCUGGGACGCCGUGGGCCACGCUCCCACGGUCCUCUGGCUCCUGGACUGGUCGGACAUGAACGCCACCCUAGACACACUCGCCCUCCUUGGUCUGGGCCUCUCGUCCUUCGUCCUGGUGACCGGCUGCGCCAACAUGGUGCUCAUGGCCGCCCUCUGGGCUCUCUACAUGUCCCUGGUCAGCGUGGGGCAGGUCUGGUAUUCUUUUGGUUGGGAAUCCCAGCUUCUGGAAACAGGGUUCCUGGGGAUUUUUUUGUGCCCCCUCUGGACUCUGUCCCGAUUACCAAGGCACACCCCAACGUCCUGCAUUGUCAUCUGGGGGUUUCGUUGGCUGAUCUUCAGAAUCAUGCUCGGCGCAGGCCUGAUCAAGCUGCGCGGGGACCGGUGCUGGAGGGACCUGAGCUGCAUGGACCACCACUACGAGACCCAGCCGGUGCCCGGGCCCGCGGCCUACUACCUGCACCACAGCCCGUGGUGGGUGCACCGCGCCGAGACGCUCGGCAACCACCUGGUCGAGCUCGUGGUGCCCUUCUUCGUCUUCCUUGGGCGUCGGAUGUGCAUCCUGCACGGAGUGCUGCAGAUCCUCUUCCAGGCGAUCCUCAUCAUCAGUGGGAACCUGAGCUUCCUGAACUGGCUGACCAUGGUGCCCAGCAUCGCCUGCUUUGAUGAUGCCACCCUGGGGUUCCUGUUCCCCUCUCGGCCUGGCAGCCUUAAGGAUCGAGUCCUGAAGAUGCAGGAGGAGGAAGGCCAAGGGGAGCAGCCCAGGCCGAGACACGGCUGUGUGGUGCGGCGGAUGGUCAACCUCUUGCUGGGCGUCCUCAUCGCCUGCCUCAGUGUCCCCGUGGUCCUCAACCUGCUGAGCUCCAAGCAAAUUAUGAACAGCUCAUUCAACUCCCUCAGAAUCGUCAACACUUACGGGGCCUUUGGAAGCGUCACCAAGGAGAGGACCGAGGUCAUCGUGCAGGGCACGGCCAGCCCCAACGCCAGCGCCCCCGACGCCGUGUGGGAGGAGUACGAGUUCAAGUGCAAGCCGGGCGCCCUGGACCGGCGGCCGUGCCUCAUCUCCCCCUACCACCACCGCCUCGACUGGCUCAUGUGGUUCGCGGCCUUCCAGACCUACGAGCACCACGAGUGGAUCAUCCACCUGGCGGGCAAGCUUCUGGCCAACGACGCCGAGACCCUGUCCCUGCUCGCGCUCAACCCGUUUGAGAACCGGGCACCCCCCAGCCCCCCUCCCAGCCGCUGUGCAUCCCAGUGCUGCCAAGGACACGGAGUAAACGGAGCAAGCGUCUCCACCGGAGCACUCAGAAAGAACUCGGGCAUGAGGGAGCACCACCUAACGUCUGCACAUUUCAACGCUGGAUGAGAACGGAGGCGGAGAGCAGAGGCGGCCGGCACGGGCAGCUGCGGAACAGAGACAUGGGCACAGAGCCUGCGCCUGUUUGGAAGUUACACAUCCUAUUUCCGUUUCUAAAUAGUGACCCUAAAAGUCUUCAGCAAGCACUGUGGCUAAAGCACCUGGAGAAGUGUAAGGAUCUUAAAACUCUUGGACUCCAGGCAGCUCCUCCCAGCUCAUGCAAUUCCUGCCCCACCUCACCUUGACCCUGAAACAGAGCGUGCCCUUCUCUGCAGACAGAAGAACCUUCUCUAGGUUACUCACAGCCGUAUGUUUAGAAGGAAGGAAGGAGUGAGGUGCAACACUGAAGGCUGCGUGAAGCAUCUGUUAGGAUGAAGUCUCUGUUUGGGCCUUGUACUUCCUGCACCCAAAGAGCCGUGUCUUUCUGAAUGUCCAUUUGUCAUCUCUUUAACGGUCGCCUCUCCUGCUGGCCUGCACACCGCUCGCUAGCAGCACUGACCUCCCCACUCCAGCCUCCGGGUCACUCAUCUCUUCCAUGUUUUGUCCCUGACUGUGUUCUGGGCUGUGCCAUCCGGUGCAGCCUCAACUCCACAGAGCCUCUCUUCAGCCGCGUCUAACCUGCUGUUCGAUCCAUCCAUUGGCUUUUUAACAUUAACAACCAUAUUUUUCAUUUCUAGCAGUUGUUUGGCUCUUUUACCAAUUUAUUUUGUCAUGGUAUUUUUUCAUUUCUUCAGCAUCUCGUCUGGCUUCUUAUGGGUCUCCUACCCACUUGUGUGAGUCACUGCCUGCCCCGGGGGUGGCUUUGUGUUUGCCCCCAUCUGGAACAUUCUGAGACAGCACUUCUGUGGGGUGGGCUGCAAGCUGGGAGCUGUGCUGACGGUUCCGGUGCAUUUCCCCAGGAGAUGCUGUUGAAGGAAGUAAAAAUAGGAACUCUUUCUGACUGAAAUCAGCUCACCCUUUAAUCACCCGCGGCUGAUUAGAUGAGUCUGCCCUGUUGCUGGAAGCAGCCUCCUUUGCUGACGGUAGAUGCAAUCACCACAGAUUUACAUUUAAAUCCACAAAGUGCCCUCACGGGAACAGGCCAGGGUCGGCCAGCCACCGGGCACCACGACCACGUUGGCGCUUGAGCUUUACCGUCACGACAGGGAGCCCCGUCAGCUGGGUGAGGAAGAAGCAACGUCCCCCACAGAUUCCUCAGGAAACAGAGGCGGUCACGCAGCAGGCUGGGGGGGUCUGGAAAGGUGCAACAGCUCCGGAAAAGAUUUGGCCGUUUCACACGAUCCAGCCAUUCCACUGCUAGAUGUCAACCCAAGAGAAAUGAAAACGCAGAGACCCGUAGGCAAAUAUCCAGAGAAGAUUUAUGUGAAAGAGCAAAAAGCUGGAUGAGUCCAGGUGUCCCUGGGCAGAAGGGACAAGCCCCUCCUGGGAUCUCCGUACAGUCGAACCAUCCUAGCAGUCGACGGAUCAAAUUACUGAAAUGCACAUGUUUGAGCCUCAGAAGCAAUGUGCCCAGCUAAGGAAUCCAGAGACAACCGAGAACAUGGGGUAUGAUUCCACUUAUACAAAUCUGGGGGGAAGGAAGUCCAGUCCAUAGUGAUGAAAACACGUGUGGCUGCCUGGAGCCAGGCCGGGCGGACGGGAGACUGGGUGGUGUGGAAUGUUCCACGUCCCUGUUGCAUCAGCUGGUACGGUGGUUACAUAAGUUGUCAAAAACCAUCGAGCUGCACACUUAGACACAUUUUGCUGUAUGUAAAGCACAGCUGGCUCCGCGGGUUAAGCCCCAAUUGGUAGCGUCGCCAGUUCCCGUGCCUGAACGCCGCCCCCACGUCUCCCCUGUGGCCCUGUCCGAGCUGCGGGCAGAGCUGGUGAGAGAGGAGGGGGCUGGCUGGCUCCCGGGGCCGGUGGGGCCGCCCCGGCACACCACUGCCUGCACUUUGGUAGAGCUGGUUUCAGGAACCAAAAACACGCGGUGCCACCCCACACCCAGCUACAAUGAGUAGGACAUCGAUGCCACUGUUGCCAAAACUGCUGAGCACCUGGAAGGGUUGUGUUUGCUUGUAAGCGUGUAAACGGGCCGAGUCCACUGGAGGUGAAGGUGUGAGCAGCCAGGACCCAGACGUGCGCACAGACAUCCCCAGGAGACGCGGCGGCACCAUCAGAGGCCAGAGGUGGGCACGGCCUGAGUGCCACCGCGGGCAGGACGGCCACAGGGCCAAGUGGCCUCGCGAGGGUCACCCCACAGCCGGGGACGCGGCGAUCGGCACCUCCCACGAAUGCACAGAGGGCUGGGGGCCGCACCGCAGGGCCGCCACACCGGGGGGUUUACCCACAGCAGGCUCCGAAGCAGGCUGGGCCGUGGCCAGUGCGGUGGCCGGACCAUGGCUGAGCCUGCGGGGACGGUGCCCUCGGCCUGGCAGUGCCCGGUGUUCACACAUGACACUGCCUGGGCCUGCACUUGGAUUCUGUGCAGUUUGUUGUUUGUGUUAAAAUUCACAAUAAAAACAUUUUAAACGGAAAAUCUCUCUUAAUUGUGGAGCCUAAGAUCCUAUUGUGUUUUUGUUGUGUUUGUUAUAAUGAGCUCAUAGCGGGUAUUUGUCAUUUAACAGGAAAGUAUAAGAAAGUUAAAAUGGAUCUGCUUGCGUCCGCUUCAACUCUCUAUGUAUUUAUUUCUCCCACCUUACUUUGUGUUUUUGUUGAACGUGCUUUUUUGUUGCUUGCCCUGCCCACACUUUUGUACCUUCUGGAAAUAUCUUCUCUAAGGAUGUAAGACCCUGUGCUCCACCCCGGGGUGCAGCCCUCGGCCUCCCCUCUGCUCGGCCACUCGGCCACUGCGGGGGCUUCGCUGAACUCGGCUGUUUCUGUUGUCUUUUAUGGUGGCAAGAUAAAUAAAACAUAAAGUGUCCUGUUUUA